UGAUGCUAAAAGAAGGAAAAAUUUAUUCUUCCUAACCAGAAACAAGUAGAGGGUUCUGUCUGGAGGAUUUCUCCAUUGUCUGUUCUGCCAAAUGAACGGCACCUUUGCAUCAUUCACCCGAUGAGGGGCUGCAGAACCACAGGGUAUAAAAUAAGAUGUUCAGUAUAGGAUUGACAGCUGUGUACAAUGUCUGUGGUGCUGUAUCAAGCACACUGACUCUAAUCACAGUGUUUUCAGACAGCUCCUACGUUCUGAGUAUGUGGAAGCUAUAUAUACUCAUCUGCUUGGCCCUCAUUUCUUGUACUGCACAUCUAUUUUUGAUUAAUGUCUUGAUACUCCCUCCCAGGCAACAACACUGCUUCUGGGACUCAAACAAGAAACAGUUACAGAAUAUAAUACAUGCAUUUUAAUGGCACUAGGAGGUAUGGUUCAUUAUGCAGUACUGUCUAUUUGCAGGAAGAAUGGUGAAUUGUAUUCUUUAAUAGCCUUGCCUUGGAGGUAUGAGCCUACACAGCAAGUCUGACUGCCAUCUGUGUCUCUCCUUUACCAGCAGCUCUUAGUGGCAGGGAUGUGCUCAGGAAAGGACUGGCCUAUGCCCACAGACACGCUGAUUCUCACAAGUGGUUCUGCGUGUGUCUUUCCAUCCGAACUUCUGUCAAAUUCAAGUCUAAAUUCCAGAAAGCAACAAUAGCACUGACAGUAGUCACUUCAGAAUAGGAAGUUUUGCUUUACCUUUGUGAGUACAGACCAGACUUCUGUAUCUUGUUUUGAAAUGAUUUUUAGAAAUGCCUUGGCUUCUCUGAGCUAUCAGAGUUUCACCCUCCAAGGCAGGCUAUGGGGAGGGAUGUGUUGCCUCCUUUGCAAAUGUGGUACAUGACCGCUGUUAUAUCACAUCUGAAGACAGAUGGAUCUCUGAGGGAACUGCAGCAUCCAAUCAUGUGUUUUGUUUCCUUUGGUAUUGAUUCAUGUGGUUAGUCUGUUUCUGAUUUUAUUUCUGUGUAGUCCAAGGGCAAGUCUGUUGUGUGCCCCGUGUACCCGAGAAAGAGUGCAGAAGGCAGACUGAAAAUAAAUAAAUCAAAAACAGAUAGACUAAUUGCACAGACACAUGCCAAGGGAGGAGAAGAUACAUCUCCAUGAUCAGUUACGCUUGUCUUGUUGGAGGAGAGUCUGAUGUUUCAGCAUGUGGCGUAAUUCUGCCACACUGGAGGAGAGUGGGAACGUCCUCUUCCUUGUCUGGUGGAGCAGAACCUUCUCGUGUGGUUGCCACAUGGCACGUCCCAGCCUGGGGAGACCCAGCUCCCUGAGGAUGGGGUGGGGAGAAGUGAAACUGGGAAGUGGGAGGCUGUGUUUACCUGGCCAGUGCCUCCCCCAGCAGCCAGCAGGGCUAAGCUGACAUGAGGAAGGAUGUAAUCUACUGUUGGUUGUGUUACGCUCCGAGCACAUUACUUCCUUCCAUGGAAUAAGAGGAUAGUCAUGGAUGUCAUUGUGGCUCACAGGCUGCUGGGGCAGCACGGCUCUGUGCCUUGCCUACAAUCAAAUGACCCGGGUGUGUGAAUUAGGAAGGCUUUUGAUGUCAUUCUCUGAGUGCUGCACUGCGGGAGACAAAGACUUCUUAACGUAACGUCAGGCUCUCUCUUAAACAUAACCAUGAAACUAACUUUGACUCGCCAGCAGCUGAUACAGGCAAUGGUCUCCUUGCACCGCUCUGGCACUUAGCAUAAGAAAGGUCAUUAUGUGGGCGGAUUAAGCAGAACCUGUCAAAGUUGCAUGUGAGUUCUUUGGCUGCAUUUCCUUCCCUGGGAUAAUAAUGCUGAGGAGAUGGGGAGUGGGUUGACACAUUCUCCGGCAUGUGUCAUGUAACCCAGUGAAGUGGAGGACAUGUCAGCCACAAGACUUUUUUGCUUUAGUAAGCUGCAGGCAGAAGUGACAUGCCGUUGCGGCUAGCAGCCUUAAUCUUAUGUGUAUUCACACCAUCAGCAUUUGCAGAAUGGUCUCUGCUUCCCGAGGCAUUGCUACGGAGCCAAAGGUGUGUCUGGAGAAAAGAGUAAGGGAAUGCAUCCAGAUAGAUAUUGUUUAACCCUGGGAAACAGCAGUAAGUGAGGCACUUGUAUAUUCUCUAUGGGCAGACCCUGAAGAUCUUUACAAGUUGACUGUCAUGAUCUCAUAUAAUCAUCAUAGUUAUCAUCAUAGAAUUGCUGGAGUUGGAGGAGACCUUUAAAGCUCAUCUAAUCCAACUUUCCUGCAGUAAACAGGGACAUCUACAGCUACAUCUCCACAGGAACCACUGAAUUUGAUACUGGUAUACAUGGGGAAAUAUUCCAUGGUUUUUUUUUUGUUUUUUUUUUUUUUUUUCAAUAUACAGAAUGCUCCAUAGCAGCUCCAUUCAGCAGAGUUUACAAAGAAUCCAUGUGUCUGAUUGGAAAAGUCUUUUAGGACAGAAGAUCCUAAAACAAGACAGCUGGAGGAGAUUUAUGACACAAUCACUGUUGCUGAUUCCCUGAUCUGUAAGGGGAUGCUGGUAAGAGUACUGGGGAGAAUUUCCCAAGGGGCAGCACAGUCACAAGGGGAGCAAGAGCCAAGAUGGGAAAUGACUGCCAUUUAAUUCAAGCCUGCCUGCGUUGCUUGUCAUUCGGGUGAAGCUGUAGACAACCUGUAUCAGCAUGAUGCCUGACAUGGAAUUUGCAUUGUCCCAUGACCCUGCUCAGAUCACCAGAUAACGUCACACCUCCCAUUGCGUAACACCAUCGUGUUCUCUAGAUCCUGAGCCUGCAAUAGUUAUUGAGUUGGCUGUUUGUGCACUGGGGAGGGAAUUCAAAUAUUUUUAAGUGCUUCAAAUGGUAGAUAGGUGCCCUUUGUUGAGAGUAAAGCAACCUGAUUCCUCAUAUGUCCACAUAUUGAAAGGAUGAAAUUUGUGCCAGCAGGGAUAAAGGAAGAGUUUUUAUCUGUGUAUGAGUACAUUACGUGCAACGGUACACAUCAGUGUUUAGGUAGAUAUCAGUGUUUUGUAAUUCCAGGAUCCCGUAACUUAAAUAACCCUCUGCUGCCAUAGUAUUUUUCAUUAACAGUCAAAUAAAAAUUGGUCUAAAUUCUUUGUGUUCAUUUAUUGCUUUAGUGCUCUCCCCUCCCCCAAAUUAUGUGCUUGAUUUUUUGCAUGGCAGUGUAUUUGCUGUUUGAUUGCUUGUUUGUUUUUAUUUGAAAUCUUACUGUAUGUACUGUCUAAAGUCUUGCUGAGCUGAGAGCUCAGAAAAUGUGUAUGUUUAUGUACCUUUGUUCGUGCACAAAGGCUGAUGGAUAGCUAAUAAAAUGCACAUCUCUGCGGUCCUUUCAUGCUUAUGAUCCCCUAGCAGAAGUUGUGAGUAUUCAAAUAAAAUAGAACUGAUCCAAAAUGUACAUAUUUAGCUUAGAUAAUGGCAGCCCCCAGAUAUGUGCCUCUUUCGGCUGCUGGAAAUCUGUCAGCUGAACAAAGAGCAGGAUACAUUGUGAAUCAGGCUGUCCUAAAAGCUUUAUGCGAUAGAUACACUUUAUGGAGUUAUUUCCAUUUUUCCUACAUUUCAAAAGCGGACUCAGAUCCUAAUUAUCACGAAGACAAAUUCCCCAAAUAAUUAUUUUCAGUCAAGGAUUGCAGUGCAUGCUGAAAGUCAGGAUGUAUGUUAAAAGAGCACAGUUUUUCCUUAAGCUCUAUAUAAAGCUGCAUAAAGCUUCUCCUUGUUCCUUCCAUCUGCAAAGUUAUUCCUGAAAAGUCAUUUUGCAUAUGUCUUUUUGCUAUCUUUCAGAGAGGAGAAAAUAUAAAUGAGCUGUAAAGCUCAUGUUGUUCUGAACUCUUUCUCUCCUCUUUUACCGAUGAGUUCAUCAAAUAAAAUUCCACUAGGAACAAAUGUUAUUAUGGGAUUAGCAGAAUGAAUGCCAGAGUUCAAAUACUAAACAUUAAAAAAACAAACAAACAAAAAAAAAACCAACAACAACAACAAAAAAAACAGCAGUGGGCUUAAUGACGUGAAGGAAGUUGUAGUUUAAACAUCAAGGUCAAUUAUUUCGUUAAAUAUUGUUUAAAAGUUACUUGUCUUGAAACAAAACCAGAGCUAUCCAUUUCCCAAAAAUGCAAACAGAUUAUUCUGCCCCUGUUUGUCAGCUUUAGUAGAUAACUUCUAUUUGAUCUUCAAAUGGAAACGGUUUCUGUUACAGAUUUAUACAACAGGCUGCUUCUUAAAAGAAAAAAAAAAAAAGAUCUUAAGGCUGGAGCUGCUGUUUGCUUUCCCUUGUAAUCUUGUGAGAAGAUUUGCAUAAGAAAAGCAAGUAGAUUCGAGUCUAGGUUUUUCUGUCUACAUCUAAUGCAUGAGUACCAGUCGUUCAUUUAUUCAGAAGGACAGUGAUGGAUUUGUAAAUCAGGUGAGCAGGAAAUCCCACAGUCAGUUCAGCUAGAUUCCUCUAAGACUAGCGGAGGCUGCCUAUGGAGGCUAACCGGAGUUUAGUUAAGCAAUUACAGCAGUCAAACACAGGGAGUCCAAAACCUAAAACCUCCAGUUCUAGGUAUUUUUCCUGAGACUGUAUACUCAGCUUUAAAACAACAUCCAGAACGGGUAUUUCCUGAACCUUGCAGAGCAGCCUCUCAUGUCUGCAUGUAACAGCCUCACAGCUCCUAACAGCCCCAUCUCAUUUGGGACCUCAGUGAGCGGAGCAGUGCAGGGUGGGCAUGCACUGGGUGUCCUAACCAAGUGCAUGCCCCCAGCUCCAAGUGUGACACAAGUGUGAACAAACCAGUUUAUUCUGAGUAGAAUGGGAAUAUAGAGCCAUGCCUACAAGUGUGGUGUGAAGCACAACAGUUUAAUGUGUGCAAUGUACUUUGAUUUUUUAUUUUUUUUUUUGGUGUAUAGAAAGACAAGCUGUUUUAUGGGAAGAGGCUUAGGAAGGAUGUUUUGGACCAAGGGGUCAAGUCCCUUGCUGUGGGUGGUAACCACACCUCAGAGGCUGGUACGCAAACCAUCUUCCAGCUGCUUGGACAACUUUCUGCCUAUGGAAGGCCUUUCUGUGUCCCCCCUGCUCUGGUGGGGUGAAGCUGUUUUUCUGUUUCCAUUUUCAGUCCCUUCUUCAUCCGUUCUUACCAAUUCUUUCUCUUAUAAUUAUUUUAUUUGGGAGGAAGGGAGGGAAAUUGUCUCAUAAUUUUAAGAUUCAUUUGCAUUUUCCUCUGAGCCCCAAGCACCUGGUGGAAAGGCACCAGCAAUGCUGUAGGCUGGUUCCAUGUACCAAUAAAAAUAAAAUAAAAUUAAAAAAAAAAAAAAAAAAAAAAAAAAAAAAAAAAAAAAGAGUAAGAAAA